rnacentral:lncRNA from 1 species
CUAACCCUCAUCUGACCCCCAUGGUUCAUCUGGUUAUCUGACCCCCAUCUAACCCUCAUCUAACCCCCAUGGUUCAUCUGGAACAUUACUGUAUCUUGACUGUUAUCUCAGGGAAGGAACCAGAGAUCACCACUCCUGGACCUGUGACGACCACAGACGCUCGCAGGACAGACACAGCUACAGACAAUCCUGAUGCCAUCUACCACACAGGCAGAACUGACCACACAGUUACAGACAGAACUCACACAGGCAGAACUGACCACACAGUUACAGACAGAACUCACACAGGCAGAACUGACCACACAGUUACAGACAGAACUCACACAGCCAGAACUGACCACACAGUUACAGACAGAACUCACACAGCCAGAACUGACCACACAGUUACAGACAGAACUCACACAGCCAGAAUUGACCACACAGUUACAGACAGAACUCACACAGCCAGAACUGACCACACAGUUACAGACAGAACUCACACAGCCAGAACUGACCACACAGUUACAGACAGAACUCACCCCACAGACAGACCACACCAGACUACUGCAGACCAAGACAGAAGUCAGCAUGCAGGUGGACCACAUGAGACAGCUUAUACAGGCACAGACAGACAUUACACAGCUACUGACAGAACACACACCACCAAACACAAACAUUACACCACUGACUACACGACAAUAGACAAAGACAGAACGACAGAAGACAGAACGACAGAAGACAGAACUACAGAAGACAGAACUACAGAAGACAGAACUACAGGCAGAAAGCCAGACUCCUCUGUUGGUACCACUCUGUUCCCUGAGAAUGACGUGGAUGACUUUGGCCCAGACCUAACCAAGGUAGAGUCAGUCCCAAGCAGGGGUGAUACCCUGUUCCCUAUGCAGCUGCCCCCUCUCCCCACCACCCGCUCCCAGCCCAUCCACCCCCACCUCGACAUCAACCAGGGGGGAGACCGGGUGGGAGAGGAGAGAGACUCAGAUAGGCUCAGGCAGAGGGGAGAGCAGUGGGAGUGGGGAGGGGAG